UUCACAUGGAGACAGGGCGAUUCAUUUCCCAGAGUUACAAGGAGCAUUAAAAGCAGCAAGACAUAAAACCGCGAGAACAAAGCCUGGCACACAAAAGAUGUUCAAAGCGCCCUUCCUUUGGGCACAGACCUUGCAGAUCUGUUCAAACAACAACCACACUAUUAAAAGCGAAGCUAUUGUAACUCAAGUUUGCCAAGGGCCGCUGGUGAUGGGGACCCAGUGGGAUUUGAAAGCCCGACCAACCGUUUCCAAGGUCCUUCGCUUUUUACCAUGAAUGAGGUUUUCUCCCUAGGGAGUGGGAAGGGAUGACCUUCGAAAAGGCGUCGAGUUUGGGGUACUCAGGCAAGUGUCGACUAAAGGUGAAGACGAGUUGCAAGGGGAAAGGGGGAAGGGAGGGAGAGAAAGAAGGAAAAGUUCGCGCUGAAGCCUGAAGAGCGCCUGGGUUUGUUUUCCUGCCUGGGACGGGGCUCUGUCUGCCCACCAGGUUCCUGGAGCGCGGCCCGCGGCUCCCAUUGGUCGGCACGCGGCUGUUGCUACGCGGAUGGACCAAUGGUGCACGAGGCCCGUGCGGGCUCCGCCCUCCCCCGGGUUGGCUUUUUCCCCCUCCGGCCUUUUUUUUUUUUUUCCACCCCCUAGAGGCGGGCCCGGCGCUGAGCUGGGGGGCGAGCCCGGGCGGGGCUGCCGCCUCCUUGCACCGCGCCCAGGGAGGUUGGUUCACCUGUCCGACUCGUUCCUCUUCUCCGAGCUCCCUCGCCCUCCUGCCUUUGCACCGCCCGGGGCAACGGCGCGGGGUGCGCGGGCUGUUUUAUUGCAUUUAUUUAUUUAUUUAUUUAUCCCUCCCGGAGCCAGUGCGAGUUUUAUGUUUUAAUAACUUUAUCAAACUCGGCGAACUUGCGCGAGGGCACGGGCAGCUUCUCUUGCCCUCCCUUCUCCUCUCCUCCCCCCGGCCCCCACCAAUCUCUAACUGGCCUCUGGGUCCCUUCCAAAAGGGGCUUCCUUCCAGUUCUCCUUCUUACGGCUUCACCACUGGUGUGGUCAACACAGCAGGCAAAAUUAACCCGACUAAAGUGUUUGAUCUACAGAUAAGAGACUCCUAUGCAUUUUGCAAGUUCGGUUUAGGAUGACCUGCACUGAUACCUGUUUUCACUAACUGGAAGAGAUCUGAAGAGGACUUUUGCUCUUAGGAGGACAGACCUUCAUCAAGGCUGCUGCAGGUCUAUCAGCUUCGUUCCCUGAGAACUAAAGAGCCUCGUAAGAACUUCACGAGGACCGUUUAUCCAGGGAGUCCUCAACCUCAGUUCUCACAGGUAUGAAAGAGAUGACUGACUUUUGCCUUUCCAAGUUCAUAAAGGCAGCUCUUGUUCUUUAUGUCAAGUGUCUUAUUAAAAGCCAGCUGAUGACUAUGUGUGAGGUCACAUCUGGAUGGACAGUUGUGUAAAGGACUCAUACAAAGGUCAAUUCUCUUUGUAUCCACUCCUGAUCUGGUAUUGAAAACAAGUAUGGGCACAGUCUCCUUCACAGGAUGUUACAUUCAAAGGCCACUGGGCUCAAGAUUUCAUCCUCCACGUAAAUAUUCACUUUCACAAUCCCUAAGCAGUAGCUUAUCCUGAGUCCCAUAAUUCAUGGCAUAUACAUUAGUCGUCCACAGGGAGACAUAAAAAUGCUUUUGGUGUGAACCUAGCUUGUGUGUGUUUCAAGCACUAUUUGAUUCGUGGGAGUUACUUAAAAUAGAUGAAAGCAGAGUAAGGUGCCCUUCAGAGAGACUGUCACACCGACUUGCUUUGUACUUGGUAGAUAAAUGUGAUUCAACCUGUUUGAGCAUUUUCGAGGUCAGAGUGAGCAGGCUUGAAUAGCCCACAUCUUCAUGGCCUGGACCUUCUGCCAGGCCAAGAAUAUGGGAAACGCACCACAGCCUGCACUGCACCGUUUAACUCGUCCUGGGAUCCUUCACUCGGUAUUGGUGGUAGUCUGCCGUGACAUAUCUGCAAUUAAAGGGUGAUGUCAGUUGACACAGUGCCACAGAGACCAGUUCAACAUUGUUCCUCAGAAAAUAAGUGCAGGAUUCAAUCCCGAAAACAUUGGUAGUGGUCCAGGGACUGAGUCAUUUGGCUCUGUCGGAGCGUCUGAGCUAGCUGCAACAUGUCAGGAAGCCCAGGUUCCCUGCACACCGUGGAAGCAGGAAAAUGUACUUUGCAAAUAACGUACUGCUCUAGGGAGCUGCUCUUCCCUCACAACUCAAGUCUUACCUUCCUUGUGCGUAUUAACCCCUUUUCUUGCAGCUCACCACUGUGCUGGGCAGGAAGAGCAAAGGCCACACAAUCUGCAUUGUUGCUGUACACUUUGGGGUGCUUGGAGAUUUUUGUUUUCUCCUUUGCUUCUUGCAAAAGAGCUGGGAAUUGGAAGAUUAACCCAACUUAACUUAGGGGCACCUCCCAUUUUGAUGGGAAUAUUUGGAAUGUAUUAUAGACUUGUUAAAAAAAAAAAGCCAGAAGUCUACCCAAAUGACUCUGUACUCAUGUUUGCAGGAUUGAAAUGUCCCACAAAAAAUAAUAAUACCUAGUUUAGAGGAGGGGCACAGGCUGCCCCUCUAAAACGGAGAAUGCGGGUAUGUCUACACUGAUGUUCUCUUGUUGCAGUAACACACUAUCACCAGCUUGGCGUGAAACAACACGAA